GAAAUGCGAUAAGUAAUGUGAAUUGCAGAAUUCAGUGAAUCAUCGAAUCUUUGAACGCAUCUUGCGCUCCUUGGUAUUCCUUGGAGCAUGCCUGUUUGAGUAUCAUGAAAUCUUCAAAGUAAAUCUUUUGUUAACUCAAUUGGUUUCUACUUUGGUAUUGGAGGUCUUUGCAGCUUCACACCUGCUCCUCUUUGUUCAUUAGCUGGAUCUCAGUGUUAUGCUUGGUUCCACUCGGCGUGAUAAGUUAUCUAUCGCUGAGGACACUGUAAAAGGUGGCCAAGGUAAAUGCAGAUGAACCGCUUCUAAUAGUCCAUUGACUUGGACAAUACUUUUAUGAUCUGAUCUCAAAUCGGGUAGGACUACCCGCUGAACUUAAGC
rnacentral:misc_RNA from 1 species